UUCAAUUCUUUAUUUGCAGACUUAGAACAUACAGAAAUACCAAAACUGGUUGGACCCAUAGCCAUAGGCUAUGGGUCCACAGGAUA
rnacentral:lncRNA from 1 species